rnacentral:rRNA from 1 species
GGGCCCGCACAAGCGGUGGAGUAUGUGGUUUAAUUCGAUGCAACGCGAAGAACCUUACCAGGGUUUGACAUCCUGCGAAUCUCUUGGAAACGAGAGAGUGCCUUCGGGAGCGCAGUGACAGGUGGUGCAUGGCUGUCGUCAGCUCGUGUCGUGAGAUGUUGGGUUAAGUCCCGCAACGAGCGCAACCCACAUCCCUAGUUGCCAGCAGUUCGGCUGGGCACUCUAUGGAAACUGCCCGUGAUAAGCGGGAGGAAGGUGUGGAUGACGUCAAGUCCUCAUGGCCCUUACGGGUUGGGCUACACACGUGCUACAAUGCUACGGACAAAGGGCUGCAAGUUCGCGAGGACAAGCAAAUCCCAUAAACCGUGGCUCAGUUCAGAUCGUAGGCUGCAACUCGCCUACGUGAAGGCGGAAUCGCUAGUAAUCGCAGGUC